rnacentral:lncRNA from 1 species
UCAAGACGAUAAAAAUAAUAUUUUGGGAUUUUUAUAAAGUGCAGAAAAAUAAACAUGAAUGCAAUUUGACCAAUUGAGGUUAAACACAAAAGUGAAUGAAUGAAUGGAGUUGUUGGGGGUUUACAAUUUCAUCUAAUCCGCUCUCUCUUAAUACUACCCUUGAAUAUUAGUUUGAUUAAUUGUUAUGCGACUUUCUUAGCCUCCCCUUAACCCGAUCCCUCGGCGAAAAGGGCCUAACAUUAACUACUGGCUUGCUAUCCCUAGCCUCCCCUAGUAAUUAAUACCGCAUUAUAAACAGAAGUUAGCGCAAUUGAUCGUCCUACCGCUAUCCCUAGGUG